UACGUAGGGCGCAAGCGUUAUCCGGAAUUGAUUGGGCGUAAAGAGCUCGUGAGCGGUUUGUCGCGUCUGCCGUGAAAGUCCGGGGCUCAACUCCGGAUCUGCGGUGGGUACGGGCAGACUAGAGUGAUGUAGGGGGAGACUGGAAUUCCUGGUGUAGCGGUGAAAUGCGCAGAUAUCAGGAGGAACACCGAUGGCGAAGGCAGGUCUCUGGGCAUUAACUGACGCUGAGGAGCGAAAGCAUGGGGGGCGAACAGG
rnacentral:rRNA from 1 species